UACAGAGGUGGCAAGCGUUGUUCGGAAUUACUGGGCGUAAAGGGCGCGUAGGCGGCCUUCUAAGUCAGACGUGAAAUCCCCCGGCUUAACCUGGGAACUGCGUCUGAUACUGGAAGGCUUGAGUGCGGGAGAGGGAUGUGGAAUUCCAGGUGUAGCGGUGAAAUGCGUAGAUAUCUGGAGGAACACCGGUGGCGAAGGCGGCAUCCUGGACCAAUACUGACGCUGAGGAGCGAAAAGCCAGGGGGAGCAAAACGGG
rnacentral:rRNA from 1 species